rnacentral:lncRNA from 1 species
CAUCUUCUCGCAGUUGGGGUCCAGGGUCCAGUAAUUGCCUUUACCUGCAGAAGAAGAAACAGCCCAGUUCAGAAGGUUCGAGCUUUGACGGGCCGUGGUGUGAGCCAGCGAGGAGGUCAGCUUCAGAAAGAUCCCCUGCUGGCCCUUACAGAGGGUCUGAGUCCUCGCCCCCAUUCCACCCUUGACGGGCACUCUGUACCCGAUGGGCCUCCACAGCAGGACUGGGAAGAAAGUGACAAUCCAGAAAGGAGGAGGAAGGGAGCCCUGGGAAAGGCCGAGCCCCGUUAAGGUGAAGGAAGGCCUGCGAGAUGCUAAUGGUGGGACUCCGCCAGCCGCUCUGCCAAGGACAGCGCAGACCACGCCAGGCCCCCAGCAUUUGCAGAUCUCAAUUCUCUCCGUG